GAUAUUAGUGUCUAAUUAUGUUUGACUAGGUCUUUUGUUGGCUAAAUAAAAUUUGGACUUAGUUUAGUUUGUAUGAUUAAAGAGGAUAUAUGUGUGUAUAAUGAGUUAUAUGAUGUAUGAGAUCAUGUUUGAGUAUUUGAGUAAUUUUGAGCAUGAAAAUGAGAAGAGAAUUGAAAUGAUGCGUUCUUGAAACGUUUUCUUAAGAAUUGUGUUUGAGAUGUAAGAGAAGAGUCGAGUUGAGUUGUGAUGAGUAAUAUGUCAUGCUUGAAUGUUUUUAAGUGCUAUAAGUGUUUAAAAAUGAGCUUUGAUGAAUUUUCUUUGAAGGAAUGUUGAGUUGAGCAUGUCGGCUUGUGUGGUUGAGUUCGGAGUCAUUUUUUUUUCAUGACGCACUGACCUACUGUUUACGACUCCACUGGAGUUCUGUACCGAGUCUGGUGAGGUUUUGAAGUUGAGUCAGUGCAGAGUGAAGUUUGUUUUUGACUUGUCUAUGUGUGAUUUUCAUAUGCUUAAGUGUUUAUGCUUGUUUAUGUGCUUGAUUGCUAUGAGUAUGGGCCGAGUUGAGAGUUAAGUCGAG
rnacentral:lncRNA from 1 species